rnacentral:sRNA from 1 species
UGCGUUCUUAACGGAGCAUUAACCAUUCCCGGGCAUCCUCGCAGGCGUCCAGGUCUCCUCUGGAUGUCGAGUGGUUCUGAAGCCCACUCUGUUUGACGCUUCCCUGUUAGACUUCACGAGCCGCCUCGCGCGGCUCGAUUUUU